rnacentral:rRNA from 1 species
UACGAAGGGUGCAAGCGUUACUCGGAAUUACUGGGCGUAAAGCGUGCGUAGGUGGUGCGUUAAGUCUGUCGUGAAAGCCCCGGGCUCAACCUGGGAAUGGCGAUGGAUACUGGCGCGCUAGAGUGCGGUAGAGGAGAGUGGAAUUCCCGGUGUAGCAGUGAAAUGCGUAGAGAUCGGGAGGAACAUCAGUUGCGAAGGCGGCUCUCUGGACCAGCACUGACACUGUGGCACGAAAGCGUGGGGAGCAAACAGG